rnacentral:rRNA from 1 species
GUGCCAGCAGCCGCGGUAAUACGUAGGUGGCAAGCGUUAUCCGGAAUUAUUGGGCGUAAAGCGCGCGUAGGCGGUUUUUUAAGUCUGAUGUGAAAGCCCACGGCUCAACCGUGGAGGGUCAUUGGAAACUGGAAAACUUGAGUGCAGAAGAGGAAAGUGGAAUUCCAUGUGUAGCGGUGAAAUGCGCAGAGAUAUGGAGGAACACCAGUGGCGAAGGCGACUUUCUGGUCUGUAACUGACGCUGAUGUGCGAAAGCGUGGGGAUCAAACAGGAUUAGAU